rnacentral:lncRNA from 1 species
AAUGAGAUAUUUAAAAUUUAUUUGUAAAUCAGUUCAAAUUUUCAUUUCUUUUUGGCAAAUUCAUCAAUCACUUUGCUAUAGAAUGUAUCAGUACCACACUCUAACUUCAUCUUUUUCAAAAAGUCUUUAUUCAUGGAAAUAAAGAUCAAAUUAUUUAAUCUCUCUUCAGUUUGUGAAUACCUCAUAAAAUUAUUUACUUGCUUUAAUGAAUAAAAUGAUCUUUCACAGGAAGCAAAUAUAGCAGGUAUGGUCAGAAUCAGAUGUAAUAAUUUUGUUAUUCCAACUAGAGCUUGGUGUAGUUCAAGUUCCUGUAUCAUUUCAUCCAGUAGUACUCUUUGAGCCAUCAACUUGGCUGAAAAAGUUGAAAUUUCUUUUAAAGUUUGAAAGAAAAUUUGACAUUCAUGAAUAUUUGAAGCUGACUGUGAGAGCACUAAAUUAAGUGAAUGUGCAUAACAAUGUACAAAUAUGACAUUCAAAUGCCCAGCCAUCACGCUUGCUCCAUCAUAAGCUUGCGCAAUAAAUUUUUGGCCAUAGUUGAAUUUAUUAACAAAUUUUCAAACUUCUGUCAAUGAUGCAACUCUUCUAUCUUUGUUGACAUUGACAUAUCCUAAAAACCUUUCUUGAGGCUUUUCUUUCUCAUCAAAAAAUCAUAAAACACAAUUGAGAUCUCAUUUGAAGGUCUGUAGUCUCAUCAAACAUAACAGCAACAAAGGUGGUUUUUUUUUUAUCAUUGCCUUAAUUUCACCUUCAAUUGUAGCAUAUAUACAAUUAAUUAUCUUGUUUUGAAUAUUAUUUGAAAGUCCAGAAAAUGUGCAGUUGGCAUUUUCUCUCAUGAAAUCUAGAUGCAAUCUUAAACAACUAUCGUAUUCUGCUACUGCUUCACAUAUAGCCAGCAAAUUGUCCUUAUUGUUUGAUUGUAUUCUUGAAAUGAAAAUUCUUAAUAAACAAAAUUUCAAUACAAUGAAUUAACCAUUUCAAUAUUUCAUGAUUUUUCUUGAUUGAUCUAUUAUGCAACUGAACUGAAUUUGCUUUCACGUGAUCGAUUGUUGCAUCAAUUUGCUGUCGGCCAAAGGUUUUCAGAGCAAUUAUGGAAUUCGGAUGAUUUUAAGAUUUUUUGUGUCUUGUCAAAUUGUUCAAAUCACAGUAGCUGGUAGUUGUCCAUGUGUUAUUAUGUUGACAAAAUAACAGACAUAGAAAACAGAAUAAAUUUGUUGAGAAUGGGACAUCCUAUCAUCCACUCAUAUUGUUCAUAAUACUUGGAAUCAAAAUAACGAUGACAUUCCUUACUGCUCACUUUGGCUUUGAUUUUCAAUUCAAGCUUUGGCAUCUCUCUUCCAAGAAAGAUAAUAUUCUUCUUCUCUUUGAAGCUUCUUGUUGCAAAAGGUCGGAAAAGUAAAGAGGAAACUGAGCUAAAUGACUCUUUUGCCAUCCUG